GGGGCUAUAGCUCAGUUGGUAGAGCGCUUGCAUGGCAUGCAAGAGGUCACGGGUUCGAUUCCCGUUAGCUCCA
rnacentral:tRNA from 1 species